rnacentral:rRNA from 1 species
GGUGAUGAUGCCCGGACGGUACCACCUGUUCCCAUUCCGAACACAGCAGUUAAGCGUCCGAAGGCCAAGGGUACUUCGUUGGUGACGACGCGGGAGAGUAGGUAGUUGCC